rnacentral:misc_RNA from 1 species
GUAGGAGCCGGCUUGCUGGCGAUGGCGAUGGGUCAGUCGACAUGUCCAUCGGCUGAUCGAUCGCUAUCGCCAGCAAGCCGGCUCCUAC